rnacentral:misc_RNA from 1 species
GAUGAAGAACGCAGCGAAAUGCGAUAAGUAGUGUGAAUUGCAGAAUUCAGUGAAUCAUCGAAUCUUUGAACGCACAUUGCGGCCCUUGGUAUUCCAUGGGGCAUGCCUGUUCGAGCGUCAUUUGUACCUUCAAGCUCUGCUUGGUGUUGGGUGUUUGUCUCGCCUCUGCGUGUAGACUCGCCUCAAAACAAUUGGCAGCCGGCGUAUUGAUUUCGGAGCGCAGUACAUCUCGCGCUUUGCACUCAUAACGACGACGUCCAAAAGUACAUUUUUACACUCUUGACCUCGGAUCAGGUAGGGAUACCCGCUGAACUUAAGCAUAUCAAUAAGCGGAGGA